AAGGCAGUCCCACCACGUGUUAGCAGAACCUGGCCGGCAUGUAAGGGGUCGUGUUGAGCACAGAGGGAGGGGUAUGGGUGCUCCCCUGUCUACCGAGGCCACGGGUUCACCGUGGUCUAGCAAAGGACCCUGCACGGAGCUAUACCUAAAGGGUGGCCCAAACGUCAGUUGGCAGAGUUGGGGAAGAGAGCUCAAAGUGGGGAGAAAUUGUGGUAGGUGGAAGAGGUGGUGGGAGCAAAGACCCAAAAGCAAGAAAGCCCGGGACAGGGUCUGUUCAGAAGAGGUAGGCUAGCUUUCUGACUGGCUGAAGUGCACAGGACAGUGGCAUUAGCUCUGGUAAUAACAACUCGUAGACUCUGGUGACUUGCUUAGGAAUGUGGACUUUAUUCAGAGGGCAAGGGGAUAUCAUUGACAGAAGUUAAAGGUGGUGACGUGGUCAGAAUCGUGCUGUAGAAGAGCCCUCUGGCUGCUGAUAUGAAGAGACUGGAGGUGGCGAGGCCAGAGAGGCAGCCAAUGGCACAGCCGGGCCAGGAGCCCCGGAUGGAGAGUGACCCAUAAGUAAAGGGGAAAGGGGCGGAUGCUGGGUCUGUAGAGGGGCAGGAUCUACAGGAUGUGGUGAUCGUCUGGAGGUGGGGUGUGAAGGAGAGGUGGAGCCCAGCAAGACACCAAGCCGGCUGGAAGGCUGAAAGACCACUGGGGAAUGGGGCCACAUCAGGAGAGACUAGAGCGAAUGGGAAAAGUUCUAUUUCCUCCAGAGGAAAUAUAUGCGGGCUAGACAAAACAUUUCUGAGGGUGAGCCACACACAGUCAAUUGUUGCAUCUGAUCUCCAGCUCCCAAGCAAGAAGCUGGCUGACCUCAGCGAUGGUCCUGAAAGCUCCAGGAAGUGAAGCAGGAACAGUCUGGGGAGCUGGCAUGGCACCCCAUCACUCCCGGCUGAGAAGAAUGUCCUGGAGUCCUAUUUGCUCACUCUUCAGCCAGUUGGGUCCUUCCUCCUCUUCCCAGCAGUGUCCUGGGGGCCCAUCAAGUGGCCCUGGAGGGCAGGAAGCUGCACUGAACGGUACUCAAAAGGGUUUGAACUUGCCUGGAACCUUGCCCCACCUCAUCCUUUACCUGACUAGAGCAGGAUCUAAUCCAAGUCCCCUUGGCCCGCUCCUCAGCCCACCUCUGUGGUGAGAUACUGGGGAGUGGUCCAUUACUACAGAUUGGGGGGUGAGUUUUUCAGGCGCCUCUUCUCCCUUUGACAUCCUUCCAAUUCUCUUAAACAUAAUUUCUUAACUAUAAAUGGAUCCUCAGCCGGUCCUAUCUGACUGUACAUAAUGCUGGGGCUGAUGGUAUGUAUCCCUCUCCAAGUCUUGUCUCUCCAACAAUGAAUCUUAAACCCAGCUCCCUCUCCCUGCCACUAGAGGUCUAGUGGUCCCUCAGUCUCCUUGUGACUGACCCAGACUCUCUGACCCAACAGUUUAAAAGGCAGACAGACCUUCCUCUAGACCCUCAAAACAGUGAAUGGGACCGCCUCCCGCCCAUUCUCCCAGGGCAGAAACACAAGUCUUGUCUCUUUGCAGCUCCAUGUUCUGUCAAUCCUAUUUUAAGCAACUGUCUGUCACCUGUCCUCUCCACACCGCCCACGUGAGGUGGCUACAUCUUCCCAGUUACUGAGUCCUGGCCUCAGGUCCAGUUGUGCCGACUCAGAUCUUUUCCUUGGUUUGGGUAAUCCCAUGGGUACACACACUGCCCCAUUAUGACAUAUUUUAAAAUUCUUUCAUUAGAAGGUUGUUCCAGAAGGCCGUUUUUGAAAAACAUCAACCAAUCAAGGAUCCCAACUAAAUUUAAAAAAAAAAAAAAAAAAAAUCUGUGUUUCAAAAUAAAUUUGUCUUUCAGAUCCUUGCAACAGGGAAUUGCCCAAGAGGUCUUCUUUAAACUUAUACAACAAUUAACACUACUUUGCAAGAGGCCACACAAAAAUACAGAGAGAGAGAGAGAGAGAGAGAGAGAGAGAGAGAGAGAGAGAGAGAGAGAGAACCUCCUCUAAGGAUAACCCAACAGCUUAUAAAACACAGUCUCCCACAUUGUCAAUUUUUUUCAAAAGACUCCAAACUCUGAGUUGAAAUUCACAACUUUUAAAUGUUGCAUAUCAGUUUGAAAAGUUUUUUAAACCAUUGAGCAGACUUCCAAUUUGCAGCUUUGUGCUCUCCCUCCAAUGGUCUUUUGUCAUAAUAAAAAUCAAAAUUAGUUUUUAAAAA